GUCAUGGCUCAGAUUGAACGCUGGCGGCAGGCCUAACACAUGCAAGUCGAACGGUAACAGAAAGCAGCUUGCUGCUUUGCUGACGAGUGGCGGACGGGUGAGUAAUGUCUGGGAAACUGCCCGAUGGAGGGGGAUAACUACUGGAAACGGUAGCUAAUACCGCAUAACGUCGCAAGACCAAAGAGGGGGACCGUUCGGGCCGUCUUGCCAUCGGAUGUGCCCACGAUGGGAGUUAGCUAGUAGGU
rnacentral:rRNA from 1 species